rnacentral:rRNA from 1 species
UACAGAGGGUGCGAGCGUUAAUCGGAAUUACUGGGCGUAAAGCGUGCGCAGAUGGUCAUGUAAGUCGGGUGUGAAAGCCCCGGGCUCAACCUGGGAACUGCCUUCGAUACUGCGGGUCUCGAGUCCGGGAGAGGUGAGUGGAAUUCCUAGUGUAGAGGUGAAAUUCGUAGAUAUUAGGAAGAACACCAGUGGCGAAGGCGGCUCACUGGCCCGGUACUGACGCUGAGGCGCGAAAGCGUGGGGAGCAAACAGG